GAGCCUUAGGGUCUUAAAAGGCCCUGCCCACAUCCUCCCGGACCCAGAAGGGUCUGUAGGCAGGCGGGGUGACCAAGGCUGGGCAGCCUGUCCAGCUGGUGGGGCGGGCGCAGAGAGAGGCACACUGUGGAGGGUUUUAGCCAGGUCUCACUUUGCCCGCUCUUCUGGUCCCUCUCAAACAGGAAGUCUCCCACUGAUUCACACCAGAGUGCCAGGACUCACCUUCUAUCUCCUUCAGAAGGACUAUCCUUGGCAGCCAGCAGCCCUUGAUGCCAGAUAGGAAAGAAGUGGUUUGAAGCAGGGAGGCACUGGCCCAGGAAACAGACCCCAGUACAAAUAUAACCCACCCUCAAGAGGACAGAUAACAAUAUCAGCAGAGAUGGUGAAAUACAGGAUUGAAACAUCCGUUAUUCUGAUGAUGUGCUUCACAGUAUUCAGUAAUUUGGAAUCUUCUGGAGCCAGGACUAAAUCACCCCAAAAAAUCUCCUCUGCCUUUUGGUGAACAGUGUUUGGAUACUACUCAGAUUGGAUUCAGACCCACGCUACUCCAGUAUGACUUCAUGUUCUUUUAACUGAGAACAUCUUCAAAGACCCUAUUUCUGAGCAAGGUCACAUUCACAGGUACCCGGGGUUAGGAGUUCAAGAUAUC